rnacentral:rRNA from 1 species
UACGAAGGGGGCUAGCGUUGCUCGGAAUCACUGGGCGUAAAGCGCACGUAGGCGGAUUGUUAAGUCAGGGGUGAAAUCCUGGAGCUCAACUCCAGAACUGCCUUUGAUACUGGCGAUCUCGAGUCCGGGAGAGGUGAGUGGAACUGCGAGUGUAGAGGUGAAAUUCGUAGAUAUUCGGAAGAACACCAGUGGCGAAGGCGACUUACUGGACGACUGUUGACACUGAGGUGCGAAAGCGUGGGGAGCAAACAGG